UAUCUUCCAUUACACACAUCUGUAACAAUUUUCUCUACACCUUAGGCUUCUCUUCCUCUCUUCUUAAUCUGCUGAAUGCCAACAUUGAAUAAGGUUCAUCGUCAUUGCCUUUCCAUGAAAUCAUAAUUGUUAAUCCUGCUGUUAUUCUCAACAUUACUUAGCCAGCUCACGUGGAUAGGCUUUAACAUCAACUCCAUUUUUUGGACUGCAAAUAUUCAUCUUCCUUCGGUACGACACUGCCGUUUUGACCAUUUCGGUAGUUUCGCCCCCAGUGGACCACACGCAACUACUUUUUCUUCGCCUUCCUGUCGUUUUUGUCUACGACUUCACCUCAUCGCUGUCUUCGUUGACGUCUUCGCCCUCAUCUCCGUCUCGUCUUCUUGGUCGUCUUCGCCUUCUCUCCGUCUCGUUGUCUACGUCGUCUUUGUCUACGCCAUCACCUCGUCGUCGGCUUCUCUUUCGCCCAUCACGUAGAGAAUUCACCGUGGAUCGUCGCUCUGGUAUUGUUUUAUUUUGAAUUGUUAUGUUUAAGUUAACCCGUUGGCUGCCACCCCGUUUGCGUCCCAUUUUUUUUGUAGCUUGUAGGGACCGGCCGCAAUGGCCUUCGCCGCAAGGCGCCUUAGGCA